UCUCUCUCUCUCUCUCUCCCCUCGAUCUCCAUCUCUGAGCUCUUCACCACAUGGCGUCGUCUUCUAGAAGACGACGUCUCCUGCGGGAGAGCUCACCAUGGGCGCCGCCCGCCUCUCGCAGGAGCUCGUCUCCGAGAUGGCGAAGAAGUCGCGGGAGAUCGCGGCGGAGGCGACGAAGAAGGCCGAUCUCCUCUACUCUGAGGCCCUCCGCGCCGCAGGGCAGAUCAAAACCCUAGCUUCUGAUAUCCCCAUCCCCCCGAUCCCCCCGAUUCCCCCAAUCCCGUCCAUCUCCGCUGGAUCCGGAUCCGGAUCUCCCGCCGCCGAUGACGAGCUCAAGCAGUUCGGGGUCACGGAGGAGCUCAGGGAGUUCGUGAAGGGGAUCACGAUCAGCACCUUCCGCGAUUUUCCCAUGGAAGAUGAACCAGAAAUAUCUGAGGUUCCUACAGUGUCAAAUGUUCGGCAGGAUCUUAGCGAAUAGCAAGCGAGGCAUGCUACUCUUGUUCUCUCAACUGUUAAGUUAAUUAAAGGGGGUGGUGUGUGAUCUUCAAACUUGAAGAAGAUUUGAAGUUGUUUGAAGCAGUUGGGUCUUUUGUUGAGAAAAGCCCUAACUAUGCAGGCAACAAUGACCUUCAAAAGCCCCGGAGGAGGAGUUGGUCAAGUUUCAGUAACUCAACCAUCCAAUGGAACUCCACUUCCUUGGUGGAUUGGAGGAGGAUCUCAUGCUCUCUAUGGGGAUUCUCUUUCCCAGUUUAAGUCCUUGAAUCUGGAGAACAGUAAUAACAGGGAGGAUCAAGUUUCGAUCAUUUCCAAACAAAUGAAUCAAGCUAUGGGACCGAUGCUGACACAAGGGUCGGCAGUGGCGGAGAAAGAGGUUAAUGGUACUGUUAUGUUCUCGAUAUUUCCAGAACUAUUACAACUGCAGUACAAGUGCUCGGCUCAUGGCAUAUCGAGUUACACAACCUCCACAGCCGUCGGAUGCAAAUCGAACGUCAACAGCGAGGCCCUCAUCUUCCGCCGCCUCUCGGCGGUCCCCGCAGGCUCUGUCGUUGCCGCGGGGACGAAGCCAGGGGCCGCCCGCUGCGGUGCGGUGAGCCACUUGGCCUGCAUGUACUUGUGCUUCCGCCACGGGCCCAUGUGCAUCUUGUUGUCCUUCAUAACCAUGACAGAUGUGCUUGUGCCUAUUGGAAGAGAUGGAAUUAUACUUUGCAUAUCCCAACUCUUAAUCUAUGGAGUACUGUUGGAAGAUUCUUGAGUCAAAAUUUUCAUUCCCUAAAGACCCAAGAGAUUCGAGGACGGGCGAAAUGAUUCAACGCAUCACAAUGAAAAAACUCAGAGAUCUUUGGAGAAACUUUAAGUGUGAGCUGAAAUCAAAGUAUUUUGAUGAAUCACUAUAGAAAAAUGCA